UACGUAGGGUGCAAGCGUUUGUCCGGAAUUAUUGGGCGUAAAGAGCUCGUAGGCGGUCUGUCGCGUCCGUUGUGAAAACUCGAGGCUCAACCUCGGGCUUGCAGUGGAUACGGGCAGACUAGAGUGCGGUAGGGGAGACUGGAAUUCCUGGUGUAGCGGUGGAAUGCGCAGAUAUCAGGAGGAACACCGAUGGCGAAGGCAGGUCUCUGGGCCGCAACUGACGCUGAGGAGCGAAAGCAUGGGGAGCGAACAGG
rnacentral:rRNA from 1 species